rnacentral:misc_RNA from 1 species
GUGACUGCGGAGGAUCAUUAAUGGAUUCACAGAGGGUUGAUGCUGGUAGUUUAUCUGCAUGUGCUCACUCUUCUGAUUUUAUUUACACCUGUGCAUUUAAUUUUUUUCAAGGGUUAGGGUAGAAACCUGCCUUUGGAACUUAUAAAAACCCCCUAUAUUGAAGUAAUGGAUGUUUUUAUCUGCCACAAGGCGAAAUUUUAAUACAACUUUUAACAACGGAUCUCUUGGCUCUCGCAUCGAUGAAGAACGCAGCGAAAUGCGAUAAGUAAUGUGAAUUGCAGAAUUCAGUGAAUCAUCGAAUCUUUGAACGCACCUUGCGCUCUCUGGUAUUCCGGGGAGCACACCUGUUCGAGUGUCAUUAAAACUCUCAAAUAAAGGUAGUUUUGCAGUCUAUCUCUGUUUGGAUUUGGGCUUUGCUGCAUUAAUGUGGCUAGUCUUAAAUGUAUUANCUGAUCCUCAUUGAGGGUUUUGGUUCUACUCAGCGUGAUAAAUAAUUUAACGUUGAGGACAGUGUUUAGAACUGGCCAUAGCCUCUGUCUGGAUUGCUUCUAAACUGUCUUGAGGACAAUUGCUUAAUUUCUGACCUCGAAUCAGGUGGGACUAC